rnacentral:lncRNA from 1 species
GCCGCCUACAAACAGGUGCUGAUCCGGCACGGCGAGGUUGCGUGGAACCUGGAGAACCGCUUCGGUGGCUGGUACGAUGCCAACCUGAACCCAGCAGGCGACGAGGAGGCAAAGCGCUGGGAGCAGGCGCUGCCAGAUGCUGGCUACGAGUUUGAUAUCUGCUUAAGAGAACAAUCCGGACCCUCUGGACAGUGCCAGAUGCCAUUGAUCAGAUGUGGCUGCCAGUAGUGAGGACUUAGCGCCUCGAAGAGCGGCACUAUGGGGGUCUAACUGGUCUCAAUAAAGCAGAAACUGCUGCAGAGCAUGGUGAGGCCUGGUGAAGAUCUGGAGGAGCUCCUAUGAUGUCCCACCACCUCCAAUGGAGCCGGGUGAUCCUUUCUACAGCAACGUAAGUAAGGAUCGCAGGUAUGCAGACCUCACAGAAGAUCAACUACCCUCCUGUAAUAGUCUGAAGGACACUCUUGCCCGAGCUCUGCCCUUCUGGAAUGAAGAAAUAGUUCCCCAGAUCAAGGAAGGGAAAUGGGUACUGAUUGCAGCCCAUGGCAACAGCCUCUGAGGCAUUGUCAGGCAUCUGGAGGGUCUCUCUGAAGAGGCUGUCAUGCAGCUGAACCUGCCGACUGGUAUUCCCAUUGUCUAUGAAUUGGACAAGAGCUCGAAGCCCAUCAAGCCCAUACAGUUCCUGGGGGAUGAAGAGACCGUGUGUGAAGCCAUGGAAGCUGUGGCUGCCCAGGGCAAGGCCAAGAAGUGA